rnacentral:snoRNA from 1 species
AUCCCAUGGUGAGGACAAGCAGUGACAUAUUCCUACAAACGCUCCCAGGCUUCAGGUAUGGACUCAUCCUUCUCCUGCUGGAAGCUUGAAAUCCUCUCGCGAAGGGC